ACUGCAUUAGGAGCACUUAAAG
rnacentral:miRNA from 1 species